rnacentral:rRNA from 1 species
GCGGAGGGAUCAUUACUGAGUUUACGCUCUAUAACCCUUUGUGAACAUACCUAUAACUGUUGCUUCGGCGGGUAGGGUCUCCGCGACCCUCCCGGCCUCCCGCCUCCGGGCGGGUCGGCGCCCGCCGGAGGAUAACCAAACUCUGAUUUAACGACGUUUCUUCUGAGUGGUACAAGCAAAUAAUCAAAACUUUUAACAACGGAUCUCUUGGUUCUGGCAUCGAUGAAGAACGCAGCGAAAUGCGAUAAGUAAUGUGAAUUGCAGAAUUCAGUGAAUCAUCGAAUCUUUGAACGCACAUUGCGCCCGCCAGCAUUCUGGCGGGCAUGCCUGUUCGAGCGUCAUUUCAACCCUCAAGCUCUGCUUGGUGUUGGGGCCCUACAGCUGAUGUAGGCCCUCAAAGGUAGUGGCGGACCCUCCCGGAGCCUCCUUUGCGUAGUAACUUUACGUCUCGCACUGGGAUCCGGAGGGACUCUUGCCGUAAAACCCCCCAAUUUUCCAAAGGUUGACCUCGGAUCAGGUAGGAAUACCCGCUGAACUUAAGCAUAUCAAUAA